rnacentral:lncRNA from 1 species
ACAAAAUAGCGUCAGAUGCACGCACAAAAGGCACAUAUCAUAACAUUGCACACUCAUAAUGGAUUAGUUUCCUUUUUUUAUUAAGCUAUAGUUUCAAUUUCACUACACUUGAUCAUUGUUGCAAAAGCACUCAUAAAAGAUAAAAGAAAUAACUGAUUAUCAAAAUCAUUUGCAUCCCCCCGGGGGACAAUGAUAGAUAUAGUCUUCGAGAGCUUUCUUUAGCUUCGCAAUCAAACACUCUUCCCUUGUAAUCCCUGAGCAAUCAACAAUGUCUGGUGAUGCUGUAGGAUUACUGAAAAAUGACGCAUCUGCAGUAGAUCCUUGGCCAAUAUGAUUGGCUAAAAUAAGUUUACUUUCAGUGUUUGCCACUACGAGCAAAGCCAAGAUGAUGAAACUAAGGCUCUUCGACAUAUUUCUAUUUCUUAGGUGAAUUAUCAAUAACUUAAUUAGAAGUAUAAGAGAUCUACAUCAAUCAGGGCAGCA